rnacentral:sRNA from 1 species
UCACCAUAGAAUUAACCCACUCAGUUGGUUC